CUCGAGUAUAAGACUAGGGUGGGAAAUGCAGCAGCUACUGGUAAAUUUCUAAAUAAAAUUAGAUCCUAAAAAAAUUAUAUUAAUUGAAUAUUUAUUUACAGUGUGUGUAUAUGAUGAAUGCAGUGUGUGUGUAUGAGUGCACAGUGUGUGUAUGAGUGCACAGUGUGUGUAUGAGUGCGCAGUGUGUGUAUGAGUGCGCAGUGUGUGUAUGAGUGCGCAGUGUGAGAGUAUGAGUGCGCAGUGUGUGUGUGUAUGAAUGCAGUGUGUGUGUGUAUGAAUGCAGUGUGUGUAUGAAUGCAGUGUGUGUGUAUGAAUGCAGUGUGUGUGUAUGAAUGCAGUGUGUGUGUAUGAAUGCAGUGUGUGUGUGUGAAUGCAGUGUGUGUUUG